UCCUCCAAGGAGGCGAAGAAGAAGAAGAAGAAGAAGCUGCAAUAGACGAAGAAGAAAGAGCGGCGCUUGUUGUUUGCUGACAAACCUGCGUCAAUGUUGUCAUAAAUGUCUUCUUAAGUGUCUUCUCUACCGACAAGAUGGACAAACUGGGGGAUGUGGACUCUUACGAGAUCGAGGAGCCGAGCGACGAGGAGAGAGCAGCGACCAGUUCGGAGGACGAGCUGGACGUGCUGCUGAGCGGCACAGUGGAGCAGAAGAAGAAGCUGAUCAGAGAGUAUUUGACGGGGGAAAGUGAGUCCUCCAGCGGGGAUGACUUCCAGAAGGAGAUGGAAGCUGAGCUCACCACCACCAUUAAGACCAUGGAGGACACCUGGGGACCCACCUGCACUACAGCAGGCAGCGUGGUGAGGAGCAACCCUCCCAUGUACGACAACAUCUACUUCGACUCGGACUCGGACUCUGAGCCGGAAGACGAGCAGCCCAGUAGUAGUAGCUCUGGUGGGCGGCGGCGGGCGCAGCGGGUCGUCCUGACCAACGACGAGCUGCUGUACGACCCCGACGAGGACGAUCGGGACCAGGCCUGGGUGGACGCCAGACGCAGGCGCUACAACAGGAAGCGAGCGUCCACGGGGGCCAACGGGCGGCGCUCGCAGCCCGCCAGUCUCCCCAGCAGCGACGCCGUCCUCAACUGUCCCGCCUGCAUGACCACGCUGUGUCUGGACUGUCAGAGGCACGACAAGUACCGCACGCAGUACCGCGCCAUGUUUGUCAUGAACUGCACGGUGAGGAAGGACCAGGUGCUGCGCUACCAAAGCCCCCCGGGCAGGAAGCCCCGCCACGGGAAGCGGAGGAAGGCAGAGGACGAGACGCCGGCGCCCGCUCCAGCGGGGAUGGACACCGAGGAGGUCUACCGCCCCGUGUGCUGCUCCGAGUGUUCCACGGAGGUGGCCGUGAUGGACAAGGACGAGGUCUACCACUUCUUCAACAUCCUCUCCAGCCACUGCUGACGCCACCAUCAAGACCAACUCCACUUUUUAUCUAGUCCUGGACCACUGGCCCAACCUGCUCAAAGCUGAAAAGCCGCUUUUCAGCCGUCCCUUGUUCGUCUCCGUGCGUCCCUCUCACUUCAUGGUCUCCAGCGCUGCUAAUAAAGGGAACAGGUGAUUAGAUAACUUGUUCCAGCUGAGGUAUCCACUCACCUGUUGGCUGCUUCAUGGC